rnacentral:rRNA from 1 species
GACGAACGCUGGCGGCGUGCUUAACACAUGCAAGUCGUACGGUAAGGCCCUUUCGGGGGUACACGAGUGGCGAACGGGUGAGUAACACGUGAGUAACCUGCCCACAACUUUGGGAUAACGCUAGGAAACUGGUGCUAAUACUGGAUAUGUGCUCCUGCUGCAUGGUGGGGGUUGGAAAGCUCCGGCGGUUGUGGAUGGACUCGCGGCCUAUCGGCUUGUUGGUGGGGUAGUGGCCUACCAAGGCGGCGACGGGUAGCCGGCCGGAGAGGGUGACCGGCCACAUUGGGACUGAGAUACGGCCCAGACGCCUACGGGAGGCAGCAGUGGGGAAUAUUGCACAAUGGGCGCAAGCCUGAUGCAGCAACGCCGCGUGCGGGAUGACGGCCUUCGGGUUGUAAACCGCUUUCAGCAGGGACGAAGCUUUUUGUGACGGUACCUGCAGAAGAAGCACCGGCUAACUACGUG